AUGGAAGAUAGAAACAGUCCCUGAAUAAGAGGUAGAAUUAUUGAAAUUUCUACUUUAUUUCAUCUUUCUAUUAAUCCAUUGUGUCUCAGUUCCAAAGUUACAAAAAGCCCACUUUAAUUCAAGCAGCUCACAUCUGGUGUUUUAUAUGAAGUCAAGAGGAAAAUCUCACUGAACCCAGUGCUGAGCUGCUCUCGGCUGGGAACAAGGCCCGUGCACUUACAGAGGUGGAGAAAAUCACAGAGCAGACCUACAUGUUAACCUCCAGGCUUCAGAGCCUAGGAUUUGUACAGAUACCUUCAUUUCAGUCAAAGGAAAUAGAUAAACAAGAGGUCAAAACAAAGCCAUGGAGACACUUGGCUCAUGUUACCCACUACAUACACUGGGUUAAAAAUGAGUUCUGAUGGACUGAAGUACAGCCUGAUCUCACCUCCAUGAUGGAGAAGUUGAGGAUAAGAAUGAAUUCAUCUGAACAGUGAUACAGAAAACCUAGAGAAGAAUGAACUUGAUGCUGGGUCUAAAGAAGAGCGCUGCAAAUUUUGUACCUGUUUGUCAAUGUAUUAAGUACUCACAUCUCUACACUUCAGCACCAUCAUCUUACAAAUUGAGAUAAAAUAUAGUUUCUAUAAAGAUUAUUGACACAAUACAAUUAGCAAUAUGAUGACAUGCAAUACCUUGCAUACAAUGAUAAAAAAUUGUUAAUUAGUUUAUUUUUUCUUAAGAUGCAAAUGACUGUGUUCCACCCCAAAGGUUUCAUAAGACUGCACUUUUAUUUAUAUAAAAAAAUAUAAAUAAGUCACAAGGUCCAAGAUGUGCAGCAUGAGACAAAGGCAAAAUUUAUGAAACUGAAGAAAUCUGAACAGUCACACCUACAUGGCAAACCAUAAUAAAUCUGUGAGCAUUUUCAUCUCUAACU